UACGGGGGGAGCAAGCGUUGUUCGGAUUUACUGGGCGUAAAGGGCGCGUAGGCGGCGCAACAAGUCACUUGUGAAAUCUCCGGGCUUAACUCGGAAAGGUCAAGUGAUACUGUUGUGCUAGAGUGCGGAAGGGGCAACUGGAAUUCUCGGUGUAGCGGUGAAAUGCGUAGAUAUCGAGAGGAACACCUGCGGCGAAGGCGGGUUGCUGGGCCGACACUGACGCUGAUGCGCGAAAGCGUGGGGAGCAAACGGG
rnacentral:rRNA from 1 species